rnacentral:rRNA from 1 species
CAGCAGCCGCGGGAAUACGGAGGGUGCAAGCGUUAAUUGGAAUUACUGGGCGUAAAGCGCACGCAGGCGGUUUGUUAAGUCAGAUGUGAAAUCCCCGGGCUCAACCUGGGAACUGCAUUUGAAACUGGCAAGCUAGAGUCUCGUAGAGGGGGGUAGAAUUCCAGGUGUAGCGGUGAAAUGCGUAGAGAUCUGGAGGAAUACCGGUGGCGAAGGCGGCCCCCUGGACGAAGACUGACGCUCAGGUGCGAAAGCGUGGGGAGCAAACAGGAUUAGAUACCCCUGUAGUCCCUGUCUCUUAUAC